AUACUUACUUGGCAGGGAAGACAUGUGAUCACCAAAGUGAUCUUCCCAGGCUGAGGCUUAUCCAUGGCGCUCUGAAUGUGCUGACCCCUGUGAUUUCCCCAAAUGUGGGAACCUUAGCCACAUAAUUUGUGGUGGCAAGGGAUUAAAUUUGUGCUUUCUCCUG